rnacentral:rRNA from 1 species
UACGUAGGAGACGAGCGUUUGUCCGGAGUUACUGGGCGUAAAGGGCGCGCAGGCGGCCUGCCAUGUGUGCGGUGAAAGCUCCUGGCUUAACUAGGAGAGGUCCGUGCAAACGGGGUGGGCUUGAGCGUCGGAGAGGGGCAUGGAAUUCCGGGGUGGAGCGGUGAAAUGCGUAGAGAUCCGGAGGAACACCAAGGCGAAGGCAGUGCC